CUCCGAGCCCUGACCAUGGACUGAUAGAGGCGCUGAUAAGGCUAUCGUUUCCUGUCGGCUCACGGUCAGAGCGAAGAUAG
rnacentral:pre_miRNA from 1 species